rnacentral:rRNA from 1 species
UCUCGUUUAGAUUGAAGGAGCUUGCUCCUGAUUGAUAAACAUUUGAAGUGAGUGGCGGACGGGUGAGUAACACGUGGGUAACCUGCCCUAAAGUGGGGGAUAACAUUUGGAAACAGAUGCUAAUACCGCAUAAAACCUAACACCGCAUGGUGUAGGGUUGAAAGAUGGUUUCGGCUAUCACUUUAGGAUGGACCCGCGGUGCAUUAGUUAGUUGGUGAGGUAAAGGCUCACCAAGACCGUGAUGCAUAGCCGACCUGAGAGGGUAAUCGGCCACACUGGGACUGAGACACGGCCCAGACUCCUACGGGAGGCAGCAGUAGGGAAUCUUCCACAAUGGACGAAAGUCUGAUGGAGCAACGCCGCGUGAGUGAAGAAGGUUUUCGGAUCGUAAACUCUGUUGUUGGAGAAGAAUGUAUCUGAUAGUAACUGAUCAGGUAGUGACGGUAUCCAACCAGAAAGCCACGGCUAACUACGUG